UAGCGUAGGGCGCAAGCGUUUAUCCGGAAUUAUUGGGCGUAAAGAGCUCGUAGGCGGUUUGUCGCGUCAUGCCGUGAAAGUCCGGGGCUCAACCCCGGGAGCGGGUGGAUAACUGUCAAGCUCGAGUCCGGAAGAGGAGUGUGGAAUUCCUGGUGUAGCGGUGAAAUGCGCAGAUAUCAGGAGGAACACCAUGGCGAAGGCAGCACUCUGGGACGUGACUGACGCUGAGACGCGAAA
rnacentral:rRNA from 1 species